GACUCGCUGUAGGAAGAAGCAACGAACCACAAAGAUGACGUGACAUUGUCCAUAGUUACAUAAAUUAUUGUAUAAGAGAGUGGCUUGCUGUUGAAUGUGUGUAUGUGCCUGUGUGUGUGUCUCUCAACGUACACAUCGCCUGGCACAAGCGCCAUAGUGUCGUCGCCGCCACUUAGUGGCGAAUGACGGCUGUUAUUGUUGUUGUGUAAAAAAAAGACAUGCAGGAAGACUAAACAACAGAUCCUAUUUACCGUCUCUCCAGCAUCUUCUUGAACUCGACGCGGCUCAGGUAGCCACGAGCGAGGGCCUGGGUGCGCGUGAGCAGGAGGGACAGGCGGUCGUCCCUCAUCUCCUCCAGGGUACCCAGGAGACCAGCGCGGAAGAACACCUGAGAGACACGGCAUUGGUGAGUAGCUAUGGGAGGAAAGCGGAGAACCUGGACGAAUCCCAUUCAGCAGUCGGCGAGAGAGAUCAUACAAACUCCACACAGAAAGGUAGCAGGGAAUCGAACCCAGCUCGAUUGGAUCACGGGAAGUGGGUUAAAAAACGACCGAAAGAUUUGCGCGCAAGCAAGCAAGUGAACUUAAUAUAAAGGAUUUAAAAAGAAAAACCUAUGAAGGUGAGUGAUACCGUAAGAGUGUGUCUUGACAAAAAACUGAAACUUCAAAAGAUGAGUACGCCUUUUUUUUUACCCAUGAAAAUCUAAUAAAAAGCAAACCUCUCGUGAAAACUUACCUAGAAGUUCUGGCUUCUUUUGAGAUUCAAUUUGAUAGAAAAUGUGGUAGUUCCUUUCCGUUGGAAGCUGGAAUGUUACUCGAGAUUUCUCCAGGAGAUCUGAAAAUCAGUGUCAUUAAAAUUACUAAAAUCACAUUGAUGAAGAUUUGUGUUAUGUCUUACGUUUACUGAAUCCGCUUUAAAGUAUGUUUAACACAACAAUGUAGGCUCAAAUGCAUUGUUGUUGUUGUUGUUUUCUUUUUACGAAAAGGUAAAGGUGCAGCCCUGCAAUGUCCUGCUUACACCACUCAUGGGAAUAACGCUUUCACUAGAGGGCCCCUCUAGAAGGUAUUGGCCUACUCUUCCACACAGCAAGACAUCUUGGCAGAGGUGAGAGUACCCACACUUCACCCCACCGCAUGUGACCUAUCGAUUAAAGAAUAUUUUUUGUAAAAAAGAAACCUAUAUUUUAAUGUUUAAACGGUUGCCAAUUAGACUUUUGUCCACAUAUUUAAUAUAUAUCUUAUUGGACACACAGACUGAACUUUUUUCUUAUUAUAUUUGCACAUUAAGCAUAUUUACCAAAUAUACAAUAAUGCAUGUUUUUCUCCAACUAAAGAUUAAUUUGACUAAGACACGGACACACAAAGGCCUAUUCAAGCAAUAUAAUAUUGUGAUGUGCCCAUGGUAAGUGAGUAUGCAAGACUACCUAGCUUUUCUGUUUACAAUAAUACCUUCAAAUUAGAGAUAAGAUUAAGUAUGGUACUUUGCAGCACAGCCAUCACUUGUUAUUAAUAUGCAAUUAACUAUUUAAUGAUUAUUUGGAGCAAAUUAUUCAUAAAAAUCAAGCAAACCGUGCCCAGAAUGGCUGGCAUUUAGAAAUUUAAAAAAAAAUAUUGCAAUUACCCUACCAAUGCAUGCAACAGGCUUGACACAUUUUAAAGUUCCUUUUCAUUUAUUUGAGUCUUGAGAAGGUAAUAAAAUAAUAAACCCCACAUUUUAAAAAUAUCUAUUUUUAAUAUCCCCUGAAUAUAAAGGCUAUGCUUUACAUAUAAGCACAUCACUCCAUCUAAAUAAAAUGACGACCCCAUUUAAUUGACAAAUAAUAGAAUAUAUUUGUGUAUGCGUGCAUGCUUUCUAACUUACAAGUUUCAAUAUCUGCGGAUGAUAGUUUUCCUGUGGCACCGAAGUGGAUUCUGAUGAACUUGCCCUGUGAGGGGACAACGUCGGUUUAGUGACAUGAUACUCGCACUCGUGGCGUUUGCGUGUAAAAAGAAAAACAAAUCAACAAAGCCUGCGCAAGUUGUCUCACUUACAAAACGCGACGAGUUGUCAUUUCUCACGGUCUUGGCGUUACCAAAAGCUUCCAUCAGAGGGUUGGCCUCGACGAUUUGAUCCUCAAGGGUACCCUGUUGAGUGAAACCAAACCAUGAGCACGAUUGACUUUGGGGGGAAAAAAGAGAUCACCGUCGGUGUUAACAAUAAGCAAAGUAGUUUAACACAUAGGCUUUCGCGACCAAUAUUAUUCAUAAUCAACGUUUUUGGGUUUAGAUCGCGUUAUUUAUAAAUGUGACAAAUUAGUGACACUUUUUUACUGAUUGGUCGUGUCGGGUGGUGGAGGGUUACGACACAUUUAUAAAUAACGCGAUCUAAACCCAAAAACGUUGAUUAUGAAUAAGCAAAGUAAGCAACAUCUUCGGGCCUGAUGCAGGUGCAGGGGGCCUGGGUAUCGUGAAAGAAUAGCGGUGUAUCGAGCAUCAGCCAGAAUUCACAUCCUUAUUUUAAAAAAUUAAAACAUCUAAUUAACAUGAAAGCUAAUUCAUCUAAACUGAUCUAUAUCUGGUCUACAUCGCUUUCAUCUCGCUACAUCUCUGUCUUUGUCUGCAUUUCUUUUAUUUUUAUUUUAUUUCGCGACACAUCUUUAUCUUGUCCAUGUCUCUUCUGUAAUUUCGCUUAGGAGUUUAUACAAUUGAAUUGGGGAAAUCGCAAACAAAUAUAUUUCCUUUUUGGGCCCGUAAUGGACCAGCACCACUACUGCAGAUCAUCACGUGAACUGAUGAGUUUCAAGUGACUUGCUGGGGGCACGACCCACAGUAACACCCAUAGGAAGCCCACAUUGAACCGUUGACCAAGUUAAGAGGUAAGCCUUCUCACCCACACACUGCACCCUGAUCGUACAAAAAAAGUGGGUGUAAAUCAUAUAUUAUUCUGAUACAAACUAGAACGUGUUCUCGCUAUCUCAACUGACCUCCACGAUGCAUUAUUGUUCACGUGUGCACAUGCUGUCGGCAUAAAUGGCGCGAUGUAGAAUUAAAGUAAUAUCAUUGUAAUAUAAAUGUUGGCAAGUUUAUGCAUCUCUGGCUGGUAACGUACGUGCUCAACGCGUCCGAUCAUCAGCCCUGAGCCAGCCUCCACGUGCAUGUACGUAUCGAGUGUCCAUGAACGAGCGUCAGUGACAGUAACUGCCGUUGCUUAAGCCCGUCGUGAAGACUAACAACGUUGUAACAGGAAUUGAAACGUAAU